AACGUAGGAGGCAAGCGUUAUCCGGAUUCACUGGGCGUAAAGCGCGUGCAGGCGGUUCGGUAAGUUGGGCGUGAAAUCUCCUGGCUCAACUAGGAGAGGUCGUUCAAUACUACCGGGCUAGAGAGUGGUAGAGGAAGAUGGAAUUCCCGGUGUAGUGGUGAAAUGCGUAGAUAUCGGGAGGAACACCAGUGGCGAAGGCGAUCUUCUGGACCAUUUCUGACGCUCAGACGCGACAGCUAGGGUAGCAAACGGGG
rnacentral:rRNA from 1 species